UCUGCAAAUUGAACUCAAAUAUCCUUUGGGCUGACUACACAGAGAACAGAAGAAAGACGUGGAAGAAACUUGGACUCGAGAUUGCCUUCCUGAAAAGGUUUCCUUCAGGCGGAAUUAUGUGAGAAGAAAUGACAUCAGAAACUAACGUGUCAGUAUACUUCUGCCAGCUCCAUACGGUCCAGCUUGUUUUCACAGAAAGAAGCAAAAGCUGUGGGAAUGGGCAUGAAAAAAUACAAAAGGACUUUAUAUCUUUCAGCCUGGGCAGAAGUUGACAGAGAAAAGGAGGUGAGAGAAAAACAAGAUAUGAGAAAAAAAGGCAAAAUCCAAGAAUGAUUUGCACUGGACUGAGAAGAGCGUGAGAUGAAACCCCAAAUUCUUAACUGGUUGAGUUCUAGAAAGAGCGAUGGUAGUAAUUUGGGGGAACUGGUGGUGCCGAGUUCACUUGAUUCUACUUUGAAAACUCUCAUUAAUUGUGCAUGGCUGUGCACAUACACACACCACAGAAACAAAAUUCCUGGAAUGAUUGUCCAAAUCAAUUUGAGGCCCUGUGUCUGUGUAAACUAAUUUCCGUGGCUACUCCUCCAUAAAUGACUUUGCUAUACUCUUCCUCCAAAAGGACUUGGAUCUAGGAUGGCCAUAGCAUCAGACUUCAUAUUCUCCUACUGCUGCCGGGUGAUCUGAACUCUCAUCCAUCAAGCUUAGAAAACCAGAGAGAAAAGGAGCUUCUUCACUGUCAACUCAACCAGAAAAAUACUUGGAAAAGACUCUACCCCAGUGUGCUUGGGUCAUGGACAAG